rnacentral:misc_RNA from 1 species
GAUGAAGAACGUAGCAAAAUGCGAUAAGUAAUGCGAAUUGCAGAAUUUCCGUGAGUCAUCGAAUCUUUGAACGCACAUUGCGCCCAUUGGUAUUCCGAUGGGCAUGCCUGUUCGAGCGUCAUUAUCCUCCCUCAAACCUCGGGUUUGGUGUUGGACCCAAGUUGUGCGAUGAACAACUGGUCUCAAAGACAAUGACGGCGUCCGUGGGACCCUCGGUGCAACGAGCUUCAAGGAGCACGCGUCGAGUUUUAAAAGGACCUUCCGGGCCGGUCUCCUUUUACUAUUUUACAAGGUUGACCUCGGAUCAGGUAGGAAUACCCGCUGAACUUAAGCAUAUCAAUAAGCGGAGGA